UUUCUUUCUUUCUUUUUCAAUAAUCGAUUAAUUUCUUCAAUCUCUACGACUCGAGGGAUCGAAUCCACUCCCGACGAAUUUAUUUACUUCUUUAAUUAUCCCAUUAUCAUUUCGACGAGCCGUAAUUACCUCGUUAACUUCUAAUGAACUUCAAUCUGUAUCGCAAAGAGGCGAUUUUAUUCCUCCUCUCGAUCGAUACGAUACAGUCCUCGUAUCGUUUCUUUAACCGCCUCUCAUUUUCUAACUUUCCCUCGCCCCCCGUAUCCCGCAUUUCGAAAUUAACAAUUCAAACCAUCUGCCCGCCCAUAAUCGCCUGCCGUCUGCUGCCGGGUUUUAUCUAAUCAUUGACGUACUUAUAAUAUCAUUUCCGUCGUUUUGUUUAAUUUGCACUUGCCUCUGCUCGUUUCUACGACUCGAUUCUCAUAUCCCUCGAAUUUUUUCGCUCUUUUUUUUCUUUUUUUUUUUUUCCCUCCCUCCCCCCUCCUUUUUUUCUGCGUAUUAUUCUAACGGCUUAUCGCGUCUACGUUUCUCCUUCUACGUGGCUCCUCGUUUGCUUUCCGAUAAAACUCUCUCUUCCCUCUCGAUUUUCCCUAACGCUUAUAUUCGCAAGAAAUUUCUAUUUGGUAUUCAAACGGAGGGGCUCCAUCGACAACAAACAGGCCACUCUCCAUCGAUCCCAUCGCGGAAUCGAAAUCCGGAAGAGGAGAGGAUUCGGAUUCGGCUCGAUACCUCGAUCGAUCCCUCGUUCUUCAUUGUGAUGGUGAGAGACGUGUCUUCUUCUCGGGCUUACCGAUCUAUUUAUUCCGCUUUAUUCCCCCCCCCCAUUCUAUACCCAUUUUAUACGCGUUGACAAACUGUCCCGUCCAAUUUACAGGUUUCCACGCUGUUUUUCCAGCGGUAGUUUAUGGGCAAAGUUCGCCAUCUUAGAUACACGAACGAUUUCUUUUUAGCCUUGCAUCGGUGAAAAGUGUUCGAAUCGUACGCGAUAAAAAUCGUUUCAGGACGCGUUGUCACACGUUUGUACGCCAUUUACGAUAAGAGGAGAAGUAAGGAAGAUUUUCGUUUCAUGAAUUCACAUCGACUCUCUCAUAAUAAAUAUUAAAAAUUCACUUUUGUUGUAAUUAAGUUAGAGGUCGGAUAUCUUCUCUUUCUUUCGUGCCCGUUCGUAGCCGAAAAAUGAGACAACGGCAAGACAAUUGCGUAAUAGCCUUAUAAAUUUCGUCCCUAUUAUCGUCCAUCAUAUCUUUAAUAAUCAUAAAGAAAUCGUUACGGAUCCCUUUAUCCCCAAUCUCACGAAUUACGCCCCAUCAAACGCUAGUAACCAGAUAUUUCUGGAUACAGCGUUCCUCCUGCUGUUGUGCGUACUCCUCUCUUCAAACUUCCAACAACGAAAAUCAAUCGAAUCGAUCGAGAAAUUAUCGUGUAACUCGAAGAUGAGAGGAUAGAGAUCGAUCGAGUCGAAUCGAGUCUCCUCCUCCAAUACUCGAACCGAUACUUGAACUGCCAUCAUCCUUUUCGAGGAUCAGGCUGGAUCAUGCAACGCCCUUAGUAAGAGACGUUGCUCGAUCCGAGCAACGAGACCAGUCACGGACGCUGGCAAUAAGUUUGAUUGGGCUAACAAAUUGUCACUCCCGUCUCGAGGAGGAAGAGGCGACGUUCACCACUCCACUUCUUCGUAAUAGGCAAUUGCGGUUGGCGCACUGGAAUCGGUCGUGUCCUAAGUAAAUAAUAAAAUCGUUCCUCGCUCGAGCCAACCAGUCCAUCGUGCGACACGUGUUCAUACGGAUCAUCAUUCGUUCGUUCGUUCGUUCGGCUCGUCCCUGUUGGAAAAUUGCGGAUCGGUUCUCCCUCCCUCUUCUUCUCGCUUCGUGUAUGAAAUUUCACGUAGCGUUUGGUGAAUAAUUCAACGAGCUCGAAGGGCUAUAUUCGAUGCCCUUCGACGAGGAGUCGAACGUUAGGAUCUCGAAUGUGUUCGUUUUAUUGCAUUGAUUUCUUCCGUACAUUUUUCUUUUCUUUCUCUUUCAACUAUUACUAAUAAUAGUAAUAAUACUUUCGACUCGCCAACGUUUGUGAGUUAUCGGUGUUUUUUUAACGACGUCGUAAAGAGACAGAUAUUAACCUUGAUGAGAAACGGAGGAGUGUGGGAGGUGAUCUCAGUUUAUAUCGGAGGAGAGUAGUGUGGUAUAGUUGGAGAUGUUGAAAAUUGUUAUCCUCUUAAUCCGUUUAUGGAGAGAAAUGUUGAUCGUGUUUCCGUUGAAAGAAAGGCUGCUACGGGGGUGGAAUUAAAUCGUCCUUAUAUACACGUGAAAAUACUCGUCGAUUUUUCAGCUUUAUCGAACCAAAGAGAGGUAGCCGAAUGGGAGGUAUCCCGAAGGAGAAAGGAAUCCGAAAGUCUUCCAUUGCCAAAGAAAUACGAAUGUAAUAUAUAAAUUUAUACAAAACGAUCGAGGAAUAUAUACUUUAUCGUUCCUUCCCAAAGUUCAACGAAAAAAAAGAAAUAACGCUCGAUAGAGUAGUUUGCGCGAGUGGAACGUGAUUAGAUUGGAUAAAAUUUGAGAAAAAAAAAAGGAAAAAAGAAAAACUCGGGGACAAGAGACUGUAGGUGGCAAAAGGCAGCAUCGAUCGGCGAAACGUGGAAAGCUCCUCCAGAUGAAAUUUCGCAAAUUGUCCACGUCCAGUCCGAAAAUGGAAUUGCUCUCGAGGCGGUCGUCGAGCGACAGGAUGUCGACCUUGAAACGGUCGAGGUCCUUUCGAGCAUCGAUGAAGCUGAUGUCGAAGCUACGUAGCAGGGCGAGCAUGCGUUUGAACGGCGGUUUCGAUCUGUCACCGACCAGUUUGCAACAUUCGAAAAGGAAACGGGAGAAAUUGAGCCUGGUGGAGGAGGGGGUCGUCUCGACCCCCGCCAACAACAACAACAACAACAACACCACCACCAUCAUCGAUCCUUCCUUCGAGAAUCGUCCUUCGAGGAUAAUCGAGGAUAACGACACUCUUGUUCCUCAGGGCGACCGCCUCUCGUCGACCCUCGAGUUCGAGUCGCGGAAGAUCGCCAAGGAGUUGAGCAAAUUGUGCCUUACAGACCUGACGACGGAGAAAAGUCGCCGAGGGAAGAGCAGCGACGAGAUCUCGCCCAAAGUGACGACGCGGAAUAUAUUUCGUUGGAGGAGGAGCAACGGGGAGGUGGAGGAGGAGAGCGAGGGGAAAAAGCGCCCCCCUUUGCCAUGGACCGCCACCGGUGGCCACGAGAACCCUACUUUUCGCCUGGACGCCUCCCUCGACUCGUCCAUGUCCGCUUUCCUCUUCGAAUCCGAGAAUUCGGAUCGCGUUGCGAACGAUCACUGCAAGGACGAGACAGGAUAUUUGGAAGAGCGUUGGCCGGAUGACGCUCCGUUCACGGCUGAUUCGAAGAACGACGAAGCGAGGAAGGGGCGAGAAUCGGAGGAGGUCGACGACGACGACGACGAUUGUCGAGCGAACGAAUCGGAGCGCGAUGAGAGUAAACGGGGCUUGUUCACCGGCGCCAAGGCGAGAAGUUUGUCGGUGAACGACGUGGUGCUGCGGGACGAGGAGGUGGCGAGCAGCUUGGUGUUGAACAGCUUGGUGGACGACGUCGGGGACGCGUCGAAGGGGACGCGCAAGUCCCAGUCGGAGAAAAUUAGGAAAACGUCGGUUUGCUCGUCCAAGUCGUGCAGGAUCAGGACGGUGGACAAUAUAGCCAACUUUUGGACGAGCGCACGGGGAGGCAGCUUUCGUAGCAAGGUCUCGGUCGGGAGGAAGAAGUCGAUCAAAGAGUCGAGAGAUUCCCACGAUUCUCUGGGGAAUCGGGAUAGGGUACUCGUUACGACCACCUCUGGAUCAAAGCUGUACUCUUUGCAAGGGAUGGAGUUCCUGGAGGGUUUCGGGAAGAAAAAACAGCAGCCUAAUCAACAAUCGAACAAUAUAUCGUCGGUGCACAUCAAUCCCCUUACGGCACAGUCUCUCAACAUACACCUGCAUGCUCUUUUCGCCGCAGUCGAGCAUGGACACCUGGACAAAGCCAGAACGAUUUUAGAGUCGACGGACGUAGACGUGAACAGCGUGAACAGCGACGGCCUGUCACCCCUGGAUGUUGCGGUGCUCAGCAACAAUAGGCCGCUUGCAAAAAUGCUGGUCGCGUUCGGCGCACAGGAGGGUAACCAGUUCAAAUCUCCGGAGUCCCUGGGCAGUCAUUUGGCUUCGUUGCUGUUGGAGGCGGAACACAGAGUUCAAGAACUCGGCGGGAGUACUUCCGGUAGCGGCGGCACAACUCUUCUCGAACCACCGGCCAGUCAUAGAUCAAGCUUCUCGUCGCAGCACAACAACCUCACGGGAUGCGGUGGUAGCGCCGAGGACAAGCAGCUCGCCUUGUGGGAGAGAAGAGCUAGAGCGCUUAGAAAAAUGUUGCUCGGUUUCGAUCAAGCGAGACCGCCAGACAUGCCAUUCUUGGUGGCCGUGGACGUGACGGGAACAAAUUCGGUAACCGUGAGAUUCCAGGAGCCAGAUUCCCACGAUUCUCCUAUCUGCACGAAGUUCAAGGUCCAAUGGAGUAUCAAAGAGGACUUCUCGGUGGUCUGCGGGGAGAGGGAGGUUCUGGAUAUGAAGCAGAGGGAAUGCAGGAUCGACGAUCUGAUUCAGGGGCAGAAGUAUUAUUUUCGAGCGGCUGCUGGCAAUUUAAAGGGUUACAGCAGGUUCAGGAAUUCCACUCCUGCCCACGUAACGCCCAGCAGUUGGAGGGACAUCGAUGGCAGAGUGCCAAGGUUUGCCGGCCGAUUGGAACAAUUGAACACUUUGUUCACCGACAUAAGACGGCCAGAGUACACCCAAGAGACGCCGGCCGUGCAGAGGCGUAAUCACAAGAAGAAGACAACGAUAAAGCAGCUGUUCACGGCGACGAGCAAGUUCCAGAAGAACUUGAGGCGCGGUGUCUUCCUCGCUUGCUUGCUCUACCACGAGGACAAAGUGUUGGUGACGAACGAGGAUUUCUUGCCUGUGAUCGAAGUCGACGAGACUUAUCCUAGCUGUAUUUACAACGAUUUCCACUGGCUCAUGAAAGUUGGUUGCACGUGGGACGAUGUUAAGAUUCUUCGCCAAGACAUGGAGAAAAGUCACAGCAGCUCGACCAAUCACUUCAGGAUAAAACUUUUACAAGCUGCUGCGCAAAUGCAGGCAGCACUAUGUAUACAGGAUCUUGGUCAAUUGUAUCAUAAACCUAUCAGAGAUGUUCAAGGGACUUUGGUCUUCUCUACAGUGAACUAUGUAAAAUCGCCAAAAUUGAUAUCCGUGUUGAACAGCAGAUGGUUGCCACUCAGCAAGGUCACGAAGAAAGUGAUUAUUCACGAAGACAGUAACGUAGCGGACAUUUUAAUAGCCAGUAUACAGGAGCAGAUGACUUACCAUCAAGUUAGCAGUAUCAAAUUGUCGAAGGGACUUUAUCUUGGUUAUUUGAAGAUGCAGAGUAGCGUCGAUCUUAUCCAAGUUGUGGUACCCGCGAAAUCACCUAACGUUUUGCCUCAUUGCAAGAUCCGUGACAAUCCACACGUUUCUGCCGAAGAAUGGGAUUAUUUAAAAAGGAUAACUCGAAUUCACGCAUCAGACGCAUCGGUUAAAGAUUGCGAGGAAAAGGAAAACGUGACGAACGAGUCCCAAGGUACGGAACAGCAAAAGUUGUUUGUCGAUCUGGUCGCUGCCACGGCAAGACGUUUGUUCAAUUACAUGGAAAUUAGCCCCGAGGACUCCUUGCUCCAUCGCCUCUACGACGCUGAAGUUAUCGAUCUGACUCACGAUGUAUCCUUUCUGAUCGCUGUGCCUCCUGCAGAAACCGCUUGUUGCGUCCCUGGAACCAGAGAGAUCCUCCUGCAACGUGGCGAUCUUCUGUCCUUGCCUAUUCAAGUAUUUGAAAUGGUCCAUCUAAAUACUUAUCAGAAGGACGUGAUCAACAGAUACUCGAGAUUAAGUUGCAUUCUGGAACUCGACACGGCGCAAGCCCAAUACAACCACAGAGAGGCUUUCAGCUCUCUCGAGUUGAGCGUGGCGAAGGAUAAAUUGGCCAGGCUGCAGGAUCUUCAGACUCAAGUGAACACCGUGUGGAAAGGAGCCAGAUGGCUCAUAGAUGUGAUCACGUUCGCUAGAGAUCGAGGCUUUUCGCAGCAGAGCGGCUCGUCACAAGUCGGGAUCUCGAUGAAGCAUCUGCUGAGCCUCGACAGGAACAAAAGCAACAAUAACAGCAACAGCCUGAAGAGGAGUUUGCUCCAAUUACCGCCACGAGAUCCCAAGUUGGUUAAAUCUAGUCCAGGUCGAGGCAGUUGGCCAGGGCCUAACAUGUCCAAUUCUUCCUCGAAUCUACUCACCACCGAAUUCAGUAAAAGCGAGCAACAAUUACCCAGUGGCCAGUACAUUCGAAAAGGCAGCAACACCUCCAACGUGUCCACCGGCUCGGAACCCCCAAAGUCCUCCCUACCCAUGAGCAGCGCCAGCAAUCUUAGCAACGCAACCAGCGCCGGAAGCAACAACCAUCUGGUACCGUUGCAGAACACCAGGUUACCGCCCUCCAAAUCCGAGGACACUUUGAUCCUGACGAAAUACAAGCACAGUCCCAGAAACAGGUCGGCCACGAUCACAUCCGCCUCGGCCAGCACCAGCCCUUUGCUCAGCAUCAAGCCCAUCAUCUACGGUGGCUCGCUGUUAAGCGUGUCAACGGCGAUGACGAAUACGACAAGUCUGUUGAGCGUGAGCAACAACACCAAUUCCGACAGUUUGCACUCGCUCAGCAGCGACGAAUAUUCCACGCCUAACUCGAGCGUGUGCAUCAAGAGCGGCCACGCGAAGAGCAAAUCGACCAAACCCACCGCCAGUGUCGCCGCCACGGCGACCGGUUCGUUGGAGAGCCAAUUGGAGGAGGAGAAGGACGAAGCGACGAUGAUGCCGGCUCCUCUGCCAGGCAUUCUUCAGGGAACACAAGUCUAACCCCGAUUGUAGUUAAAAACAGCUCACUUGGUCUUCUAGUGCAGACCGAUGUAGCAGACAUAUGAGUUUACGCGGCCUACGAAACCGGUCUGGCUUCCGGAACCAGCCUCAAAUUACACGUCACCCCGAGGACCACAGCCAGGGAAGUUGUGAAUCUAGUUGUGAAGCAGCUGAACAUGGCGGUAGUUUUAAAAGGGCAAGAGGGCCCCGUUUACACGGCUGACGAGCUGCCAAAUUUUUGUUUGGUGGCCGUGAUUGGUGCUAGGGAGCGUUGCCUGAGGGAUGAUUUCAAACUGCUGCAACUUCAGAACCCCUGGAAAAAGGGUAGAUUGUACGUGAGGCAGAAACAAGACGUCCUUGCGGCCCUUGAGCACAGCAGCAAGCAUACCGCGUAUUUAUAGCAUAAGUAACGAACCAGAAGGAAAGAAACAAAAUGUGAUUUUGCGCGGAUAUCCGUUGUAAUGUUAAGGAACGCUGCGUUUCAUUUAAUAAUUGGCUGGAUCAAAAGCCAAAGAGAUUCACUUUAGCGAUGAUGCAUUCUGUGUCUCUGUGUACAGAUUUAACAUUAGUUAGCUAAAGUUAUUAAAUAUUUCUUUUUCUUCUACGUUUUUCUUUCCCCCCUUUUUCGUUCAUUUUAUAAAUAACAGGAAUAUCAAAAGUACACAGAUCCCCCAAAAAUCGAUUAACGAGACACAGGAUACAUCGAGAGAUGUAAAUAAAAAAACAAACGCUUGGCUACGAGGAAAAAGUUUUCAGUUGUAUCUUUCGAGGCUCUAAAUAAAAUUAACGCGUAAUUAGGUAGGGGGAAUGAGUGGGAGGAAGGACGAUCGUCUUCGAAGGGCGAGAAUUAAAAAAUUGCGCGAAUCCAGAGUACAUUCCAACCAAGUUUCGAUCCGACGUAACUGUAAUUUCACGCUGAUGGAUUAGAAUAGCGUUGCAAGAAAAUAUGAUGGAUAAUACUCAAGGUAUAUCGUAUCGUUAUAUUUUUAGAUAUCGAUCUCAGUGUUUUGCUCGAUAUAUUAUCAUUUUGCACGCGUCUCCUGUUAUAAAUUCGUCAGAUGCUUAAGAGAUCUCAUUGUUAUCCAUACCGUUCGACGUGUCCGACGGGUGAUGCGCAACAUUCAUUUCUUUCUUAUUCUUUAUCGCAAAUUAUCUUUGUUCUUUCGCAAAAUUCCGAUAAAAUAAUAUCUUGGACACGUCGAAUGAAACUGAGAGAGAGAGAGAGAGAGCACAAACUUACUUACGAAGAACAGAAAAUGAUUUUAUAUACGUUAUAUUUUUAAAACUAUCCAAUCGUAUCGAUUUAUUUCAACGUGUAAAUUCCACUUGUCUAAAGCCUUUGAUUCGAAUUUCUUCUCAUUUCAAUCCUUUCUAUUUUCGCGUUCUAUUUUCAUUAUCUCGAUCCGAUGAAAAGAUUUUUCUUCGUUCUUACUUUUCUUCUUUUCUUGGUUUGAAACAACAAUGGGAACAAUGAAGGCGUCCUGAAUAUUAUAAUUGAAAAUCGCUAGAAAUUUAUUAUUAUUAUUAAUAAUGGCGACGACUGGGACAGGACUUACAAUUAAUUAUUAUAAUAUUAAAACAUAGACGAAACGUGAUUCGUAUAAAAGAGGCUUAUAGACUGUUGCGUAGAAAUAAAAGAGAAAGUAUUAUUACGAUUACUAAGAUUUUUAUUCCCGCCGAGAUUGCGAACAGCAUUGUUAAACGAAUGUAUUCCUUAUUCUUUAUUCUUGAAUCCACGUAUUCUAUUACUACAUUGAUUAUUUGUUUCGCGUUCUUCGCGCAACAUGCGAUCUUUCCUGCCUUCUUUGUACAAUUUUUCUUCCUUUCUUUUCGAGCAUUGUACUCCUUUAUUAUUAUUAUUAUUGUUGUUAUUAUUAUCAUCAUUAUUCACUUCUUUGUCAGAGAGGAAAAGCGUGACAAGAUCGAUCUUGUCUUGAUGACUCUUGUCAAAACUCCAGGCACUCGUGGACUUCCUAUUAAGCGACCUAGAAGCGACGCGUUGGUGAUACGAAUACGAUGCAGAGCAGAUUGUAAUAAAAUAUACCCUAAUCGCAUGAUAUCACUGUUCGAUAAUAGCACAAAAUAUUUCACGAUGCUGGGGCAAAGAUUUUUUUUCAUUUAUACGAGUAGUUUUCGAAGAUUAAAGGCACAAAUGUAAAUGUAAAUGCAAGACUCGUUAAGGAAUUGUCUUUUCUGUUGUAUAUUCGAGGAUUGUAGCGUAAGGAGAGUUGUUUGCAUCGCAUAUUGGAUCCGUCCGUUUAUCUCUAAUGAACGAAACGUCAAAAUUGGAUUGCUUUGAGCGCAAUUGAACAAUGGUAUCAUGGGUCGAGGGGCCAUCUAAGUUUAAACGAGAAUAUACAAUGCAGAUAUUUUUUUAUCGAGAAAACAAAAAGAGAGAGAGAGAGAGAGAGAGGUAGGAAGGGAGGAGGAAAUGAAAAAAGAUUUAUACUUAUAUUUUGCCAGAGCGCGUUAGAGAUUUAAUCGAGGAAAAAACGCGAUUCGCGCGGAAAUAUCGAGAAAUCUGUCCGCGCGUCGGGCAGAAGAAGAUAUAGGUAAGCAGAGAUGAAGAUGUGUGCAAUGAGUGGCAAAAAAAAAAAAAAAAUAGAAGAAGAAUGCUGAGAAAGAUCUUAAUAGAACGCUAGAAAAAAAUUUAUUAGCUCUACCUGAGUGUUUAUCGAUGUUGAGUGUAAAAUAAUCAUUAGCAGUUAAGUGUUAUCGUGGGAGGAAAACGAAUUUCGAGACUUGAGAAGCCCCCCCCCUGAUUUUCCUCUCAGACGUCGGGAGUUCCAAAAAAAAAA